rnacentral:rRNA from 1 species
GGCAAACGGGUGCGUAACACGUGCUUAAUCUGCCCUGGAGUGGGGGAUACCUGUUGAAAAGCAACUAAUCCCCCAUACGUUCCACAAAAUGAAAAUAUGUGGAAGAAAGAUUUAUCGCUCUAGGAGGAGGGCGCGGCCUAUUAGCUUGUUGGUAAGGUAAAGGCUUACCAAGGCUAUGAUGGGUAGCUGGUCUGAGAGGAUGAUCAGCCACAAUGGAACUGAGACACGGUCCAUACCCCUACGGGGGGCAGCAGUGGGGAAUAUUGCACAAUGGAGGAAACUCUGAUGCAGCCACUCCGCGUGGAGGAUGAAGCAUUACGGUGUGUAAACUCCUUUUUUGGGGAAAGACGACUGACGGUACCCCAAGAAUAAGGGACGGCUAACUACGUGCCAGCAGCCGCGGUAAUACGUAGGUCCCAAGCGUUAUCCGGAUUUACUGGGCGUAAAGCGUCCGCAGCCUGCUUUGUAAGUCUGCAUUCAAAUACCGGAGCUCAACUUCGGAAAGGGUGUAGAUACUGCAUUGCUAGAGAAAAACAGAGGUUAGUAGAAUUUCCGGUGGAGGGGUGAAAUCCGUUGAUAUCGGAAGGAAUACCAAAAGCGAAGGCAGCUAACUAUGUUUUUUCUGACGGUGAGGGACGAAAGCUUGGGUAGCAAACGGGAUUAGAUACCCCGGUAGUCCAAGCCGUAAAUGAUGCUUGCUAGGUGUUUUGUCGCUUCGAGCGACGGAGUGCCGUAAUCUAACGAGUUAAGCAAGCCGCCUGAGUAGUAUAGUCGCAAGGCUGAAACUCAAAGGGAUAGGCGGGGGAACACACAAGCAGUGGAUUGCCUCGAUUAAUUCGAUAAUAAGCGAAGAAUCUUACCAAGGCUUGACAUCCUCGGAAUCCUAUCGAAAGACUGGAGUGCCGUGCUUGCACGGAACCGAGUGACAGGUGCUGCAUGGCCGUCGUCAGCUCGUGCCGCAAGGUGUCUGGUUAAGUCCAGAAACGAGCGCAACCCUCGUCCUUAGUUAGAAUGUCUAGCGAGACUGCCUCCGUAAGGAGGAGGAAGGAGAGGAUAACGUCAGGUCACUAUGGCCCUUAUGCCUAGGGCGUCAGAGACAAUACAAUGGGUGGUACAGCAGGUAGCGAAGUCGUGAGGCGGAGCCAAUCCCUAAAACCAUCCUCAGUGCGGAUUGUAGUCUGGAACUCGACUACAUGAAGUUGGAUUUGCUAGUAAUGGUGGGUCAGCCAUACCACCGUGAAUAUGUCCCUGUUCCUUGCACUCACCGCCCGUCACACCAUGGAAGUUGAG